ACGGGAGGCAGCAGUGGGGAAUAUUGGGCAAUGGGCGAAAGCCUGACCCAGCAACGCCGCGUGAAGGAAGAAGGUUUUCGGAUUGUAAACUUCUUUUAUCAGGGACGAAGAACGUGACGGUACCUGAUGAAUAAGCCACGGCUAACUACGUGCCAACAGCCGCGGUAAUACGUAGGUGGCGAGCGUUGUCCGGAUUUACUGGGUGUAAAGGGCGCGUAGGCGGGAUUGCAAGUCAGAUGUGAAAUCCAUGGGCUCAACCCAUGAACUGCAUUUGAAACUGUGAUUCUUGAGUAUCGGAGAGGCAAGCGGAAUUCCUAGUGUAGCGGUGAAAUGCGUAGAUAUUAGGAGGAACACCAGUGGCGAAGGCGGCUUGCUGGACGAAAACUGACGCUGAGGCGCGAAAGCGUGGGGAGCAAACAGGAUUAGAUACCCUGGUA
rnacentral:rRNA from 1 species